rnacentral:lncRNA from 1 species
GCUGCUCCCUCAGAAAUAGGAUUUCAUCUGCUGAGGGGAUUGGGGUAGAUCUUCCAGGUGUGGGCUAGAUCUGUCGUCCAUGGUCCAUGCUUCUGGUUUAUAAAAAACACCAGUGGUUGGGGAUUCUCACAUGGUGUGGGUGGAGAUAUAAACCCAGGCUACAUCUGUAAGAGGGCUACUUCAGAGUGUCUACCAACAUGGAAAAUGCACAAAUCAGUUGGUUAUAACUGCAAGAAAUGCAAAUAUCUGAUGUCUCCAUGUCCUUGAAGAUUGGAUGAUUUGCAUUAUGAGAAGCAAGGCUUAACCUCAGAGGCCAGCAUCAUCCCUGGAGUGAUGGAAGCAAGCCUGCGGCUCAUUCUCCUUUGCCUGCACCCAAAAGCAUUUAAGGAUUUGUUUCCAGGAAGCUGCUGAAAAUAUGGAAACUUGACAUCACCAGCAAACUUGCUGAGAUACUAAAAGAAGAAAGUCACUACUUGAAAAUUUGGACUCUUCCAUACAGGUGGAGCUCAAAGCACCAUAGGACAUUCACCCAUCAUCUGAGACUCCUCAUGUCUAACGCUGUAGCUUUGGAGGAUGAAGUUUUCCAAGAGGAGCCCGAUGCACUUCAUGAUGGGUCCGACAGAGGCUACCUGGCUCUCCAAGAUGAUCAUCCAGUGGCUGGGAUGGCAUUCAGUUCUGCUGAUUCCUGAUUCAAUGGGCUACUCACUGAUAAUAAAAUGUUAUUUUAUCUUUUCAAAGCAAAAAAAAAUUUGAGAUUCAUUUUGAACAAGGGCCAUCUUCCCAGUCAAAAUAAAUACCUGUCAACAUUAUCUUUGUACCAGAUAAUUUUAUGACCACUUGACACAAGUCAGAAUCAUUUGGGAAAAGGGAACCCUAUUUGAGUAAAUGCCCCCAUCAGAUUGGCCUUUGGUGCAUUUUCUUUAUUGACUAUUGAUGUGGGAGAGCCCUGGUCCUUGUGGGUGGUUUCAUCCCUGAACUGGUGGUCCUGGGUGCUAUACGAAAGCAAGAUAAGAGAUCCAUGAGGACCAAGCCAGUAAACAGCUCUCCUUCAUGGCCUCUGCAUCAGUUAUGGCUCCAGUUCCUUUCUUGAGCUCCUGUCCUGACUUCCCUAGGUGAUGAAGUACAAGCUGUAAAAUGAAAUAAACCCUUUCCUCCCU